GGAGAGUGAACCACUGCUGGACCUGAAUUUCUUAGGUUUCUCAAAAGUGACUUCAGCAUAACACUAGUUAAAAGGAGUUUAUCUGCUGCAUAAGCUGCAGUUCUUUUCUAUCUGAAAGAAUCUACCAGAUCAUCAUACUGCACAUUGUGUGCCCUCAAAAUACGCUGAAGAAUAAAACAGCACCUCGUAUGAUCUUAAAAGUUUGAUAUGAUGAUAACAUUGUUCUCACUAGUUCUCUCUGAUAAUGCCUUCUUCCUAUUCUGCAGGCCACACCAAGGUUAACUGAAGACAAGGUGAAGCAGUGUGUAGAUCCACGGUUGAUGGGUGAAUAUCCAGCAAAAGGACUCGCCAAGCUCGCUGCUGUAGCGGCUUUGUGCGUGCAAUAUUAAGCUGAAUUCCGCCCAAAUAUGGGCAUUGUGGUCAAGGCUUUGUCUCCACUACUUGUAACAAAGCAGACUCCACCUGCUGUUGACAGUUGAUGUACAGAAUUAACUUCAGUCUCCUUGCAAAUUGCAAUGUCUAUUAGGUUGCAAAUAUGAGCGGCAACAGCUUGGAUACUACGGACAUUUGAUCGAUUCACCUCAAAGAUG